rnacentral:rRNA from 1 species
AUUGAACGCUGGCGGCAGGCCUAACACAUGCAAGUCGAAUGGUAACAGGAAACAGCUUGCUGUUUCGCUGACGAGUGGCGGACGGGUGAGUAAUGUCUGGGAAACUGCCUGAUGGAGGGGGAUAACUACUGGAAACGGUAGCUAAUACCGCAUAACGUCGCAAGACCAAAGAGGGGGACCUUCGGGCCUCUUGCCAUCAGAUGUGCCCAGAUGGGAUUAGCUAGUAGGUGGGGUAACGGCUCACCUAGGCGACGAUCCCUAGCUGGUCUGAGAGGAUGACCAGCAACACUGGAACUGAGACACGGUACAGACUCCUACGGGAGGCAGCAGUGGGGAAUAUUGCACAAUGGGCGCAAGCCUGAUGCAGCCAUGCCGCGUGUAUGAAGAAGGCCUUCGGGUUGUAAAGUACUUUCAGCGGGGAGGAAGGGAGUAAAGUUAAUACCUUUGCUCAUUGACGUUACCCGCAGAAGAAGCACCGGCUAACUCCGUG